rnacentral:rRNA from 1 species
AACGAACGCUGGCGGCGCGCCUAAUACAUGCAAGUCGAGCGAGAAGGUGUAGCAAUACACUUGUAAAGCGGCGAACGGGUGAGGAAUACAUGGGUAAUCUACCAUCGAGUGGGGAAUAACCAGCCGAAAGGUUGGCUAAUACCGCGUACGCUUCCGAGUCUUCGGGCUUGGAAGGAAAGCCGCACUGUGAGUGCGGCGCUCUUUGAUGAGCUCAUGUCCUAUCAGCUUGUUGGUAGGGUAACGGCCUACCAAGGCUUUGACGGGUAGCUGGUCUGAGAGGACGAUCAGCCACACUGGCACUGCGACACGGGCCAGACUCCUACGGGAGGCAGCAGUAAGGAAUAUUGCGCAAUGGGCGAAAGCCUGACGCAGCGACGCCGCGUGGGGGAUGAAGGUCUUCGGAUUGUAAACCCCUUUCGGGAGGGAAGAUGGAGCGAGCAAUCGUUCGGACGGUACCUCCAGAAGCAGCCACGGCCAACUUCGUGCCAGC